AUUGAACGCUGGCGGAAUGCUUUACACAUGCAAGUCGAGCGGCAGCGCGGGGGCAACCCUGGCGGCGAGCGGCGAACGGGUGAGUAACAUAUCGGAACGUACCCAGUCGUGGGGGAUAACUAUCCGAAAGGAUAGCUAAUACCGCAUACGACCUGAGGGUGAAAGCGGGGGACCGUAAGGCCUCGCGCGAUUGGAGCGGCCGAUAUCGGAUUAGCUAGUUGGUGAGGUAAAGGCUCACCAAGGCGACGAUCCGUAGCUGGUCUGAGAGGACGACCAGCCACACUGGAACUGAGACACGGUCCAGACUCCUACGGGAGGCAGCAGUGGGGAAUUUUGGACAAUGGGGGCAACCCUGAUCCAGCCAUUCCGCGUGAGUGAAGAAGGCCUUCGGGUUGUAAAGCUCUUUCAGCAGGAACGAAACGGUGGUCCCUAAUACGGGCUACUAAUGACGGUACCUGAAGAAGAAGCACCGGCUAACUACGUGCCAGCAGCCGCGGUAAUACGUAGGGUGCGAGCGUUAAUCGGAAUUACUGGGCGUAAAGCGUGCGCAGGCGGUUAUAUAAGACAGAUGUGAAAUCCCCGGGCUUAACCUGGGAACUGCGUUUGUGACUGUAUAACUCGAGUGUGGCAGAGGGGGGUGGAAUUCCACGUGUAGCAGUGAAAUGCGUAGAGAUGUGGAGGAACACCGAUGGCGAAGCAGCCCCCUGGGUCAACACUGUCGCUCAUGCACGAAAGCGUGGGGAGCAAACAGGAUUAGAUACCCUGGUAGUCCACGCCCUAACGAUGCGAACUAGGUGUUGGGGAA
rnacentral:rRNA from 1 species